rnacentral:rRNA from 1 species
AGUGGGGAAUAUUGCGCAAUGGGGGAAACCCUGACGCAGCGACGCCGCGUGCGGGAAGAAGGCCUUCGGGUCGUAAACCGCUGUCAGGAGGGAAGAAACUGUUGGAGUCGAAUAGGCUCUUUCACUGACGGUACCUCCAGAGGAAGCACCGGCUAACUCCGUGCCAGCAGCCGCGGUAAUACGGAGGGUGCGAGCGUUAAUCGGAAUCACUGGGCGUAAAGCGUACGUAGGUGGCAAAGUCAGUCAGGCGUGAAAGCCCUCGGCUCAACCGAGGAAUUGCGUUUGAUACUACUUUGCUAGAGUCUCGGAGAGGUUGGCGGAAUUCCAGGUGUAGGAGUGAAAUCCGUAGAUAUCUGGAGGAACACCAGUGGCGAAGGCGGCCAACUGGACGAGUACUGACACUGAGGUACGAAAGCGUGGGUAGCAAACAGGAUUAGAUACCCUGGUAGUCCACGCCGUAAACGAUGGAUAUUAGGUGUCGGGGGUAACCCUUCGGUGCCGUAGUUAACGCGUUAAAUAUCCCGCCUGGGGAGUACGGUCGCAAGGCUG